GAAGAUUUAAAAAAAAAGAUAAAACGUGGGACUCUCAGUGUCCUCGAAAUUCUACAAUCGCUCGCGGGGCUUUAUAAUUACAUAAAACAUAAUAUAAUCCCUGCUGACAGCGCUUCAGGAGGCGAGGUGUUGGGGCACAUGGACACAGCGCGGCAUCAACUCAAAAGUGUCUAAAGAUACAGUGAACCAGGCAGUUUUUUGUCGAGAUUUCCACCUUAAACCUCUUUUCCACCCUAAGUGUACUGUCAAGUGAGACUACCCUUGCACCUCUGAAUGGAAUGUCCCCAUGCAUGGUGGUCCCUAUACUUGCACCGCAGCGACCUUCCUGUGUAUCCGCAUAUUUCAUGCAAUUCUUGGUGUCGUCGGUCAUUGCUAGACAGGCCGUGGCAGUAGCCUUUUGCAUAACUUUCUCUACGUGGGAGUUCAGUGGUUUUUAACAAUAUCAAUAAUGCUUUCCGAAUCUCUCGUGCUUAGGAAUGAUUCGAUACAAGUAAAUACAAGUACGUAUUCCAUACUUUCUAUUUCGAUACUGCGUACUUUGAUAAUUGAAUCGUUCCUUCGAUGCAAAUACCUGGUCUGUUGAAAAACUUGAGUUAGAUAUGUCACAGCCAUCAUCUACAAGCUAUUCAAAAUUAGAAAACACGUUGGAAGGAAAAAGUGUUUUUGAUGCUAGUGGGUACGGAUAAUAACAUACCUCCCCAAAGCACUUUUACAAGUUUCGGCCAAAAAAGAUGUUACCAUUCCGCUGAUAAGCCGAACCACGAGUUCCAAAAAUUGUGAACGAUGCAUAUAGGAUAGCCGAGCGGAACAGGAGGCAGGGGGGUCCAUUGGAAAGAAACUGGACGAGGCCAGUUUUUGAAUAAUCGUCGGUACAGUCGGUUGCAAGUGGCCAAUAAAAAUUAUUUUGUGUGAA